CACAAGGGUGAGAGAGAAGGCUGGGGAUUGAAAAUCCUUACUUGGCGACAACGAGUAUCAUGACUCCACGUAGGGAAUGACUUUGUUGGUAUCUUUCUGUUGGAAAUGGAGGUAUAGGGGUCGGUGUUCACUACAUGUCACGUUUUGGGAAUUGUACUCGCUCGGGACGUAGGAGGUUGAGGCCUGUGGGAGUUUUGCCUCUUGGCCCGUAGUUGAUGUUUGUUUGUUUUAGUUGUGGACAAUAGUUGGAUAUGUAUGAUUUAUUUCUUUUCAGACUUUCGCUGUUGAUUUUAAAUGACAGUUGUUUUUGAGAUAUAUUUAAGAAUGGCUAUUUAACCUCGUUUGGGCGUAUCUUUU